rnacentral:misc_RNA from 1 species
UGUGUACUUUAUUUUGUAAACAACUACAAUCAAUAAAUUAUGAGCUGUUUUAACAACAUUGUGUGUUUUUGGUGGGGUGUAACUGUGAGAAUAGAAUCAAACAAAUUUGGAUUUCUAUCGAUGAACCAGAUUUGUUCCUUUCAAAUCGAUGUUAACACUACUUCAAAUUCACAAUACUGUUAAACUGACUUGCUCAUU